CCCGGUAUCCGUCGCAGGAGGUGGAGCAGGUUCGUGGCCGUUAUCGUGGCCUGCCAGGGGGUGGUGGAGCUGUGCAAAAUCCGCCGCAGGAAGUGGAGCAGGGCGGCGACGGUUACUGCGGCUUGUCAGGGAAUGAUGGAGCUGUGCGGAAUCCGUCACAGGAAGUGGAGCAGGGUCGUGGCCGUUUUGGUGGCUUGCCAGGGGGCGCGGAUCUGUUGAUUGAAGCUCGACGACGGUCGGAGCCCGGCCUCUGUAGAGGUCCGGGAGAGGUCCUCCUGGCGGCUGGGGCCGUGGGUGGAGUCUGACUUCCGUGGGAGUCUGGUCGGAGCCGUGCUGCAGGGGAUGUCGGAA
rnacentral:lncRNA from 1 species